rnacentral:rRNA from 1 species
GACGUAGGAUGCAAGCGUUGUCCGGAUUUAUUGGGCGUAAAGAGUUCGUAGGCGGUUUGUUAAGUCUGAUGUUAAAGAUCGAGGCCCAACCUCGGGAGUGCAUUGGAUACUGACAGACUGGAGUGUGGUAGAGGCGAGUGGAAUUCCUGGUGUAGCGGUGAAAUGCGUAGAUAUCAGGAAGAACACCGGUGGCGUAGGCGACUCGCUGGGCCAUAACUGACGCUGAGGAACGAAAGCCAGGGGAGCAAAUGGG